rnacentral:lncRNA from 7 species
ACACAGCCUGGCCACACAGCCCUAGCAGCCCAAAAGCACCUUGUGUGUUUCUUCUCCUGAAGCAAUGAAACAAGGUAAUAUAAUUGCUUUUAGAAUCUUCACCAUUAUUCCUACCUUUGCUCACUGAAAGAACAGUUUCCUCUAGCACCAGCUGCCACGCCGUGCUCUCCAUGUACCAUCAUCUGGACACACAGAGCAACUUCAGGGAUACACAGUAUAAAUCCAUCCUGGAAGAGACCACUAAUCUGUCCCUCAGAUGCAAAGUAGCAGUAAUAUUACUGAACAUGAUGUCAAUCUGAUGUUGAGACUAAGCAAACCGGAGUUACACUUUUGGGACUGGUAAAAUAAGACAUUCUUCUUGGAAGUCUUUACUUCAAAUAGGCCUGAAGGACGAACGUGUGUAUCGGCACCCUCACACAGAUAUCAGAGUCCUUUCAAGGUGUGACAGCACUAUAAAUUCCCCUUUCUCCCCAUCAUGCUUUAUCGGAGGCUAAGCAUAUGACUUAUCUGUGACAUUGGACCACUUUCUCCAGCUACUCUGUUCCCCUUGCAUGGAACACGAUAGAGUGUAAAGACAGAAAUUUACCACUGUGACUCUUCUGAUCUUAUACACAUCUUGGGCUCAGUAGGUCUCCUGAAAGUGAUAAAAGCUCCACCUUUAAGAAAAACACCACAGAAUUAAAUUACCUGUGAAGGAGAAACCACCUCAGCCUUGGCUGAUUGUUCCAGGGACCAUUGCACCUACUAAUGAAGAGCAUUCCGCUGUCAAAUAUCUGUCCUGAUUCAGGUGGUGGCAAGUAGAGAGAAGUCCACUUCUCAACCUUCUUUCCCGUGAGCUGGACAGAGGUAGGCCUCGGAGCCUUCCCAUUGCACUGCUACCAAUGUUCAUCAGACACAUGUUGGAGCACAUGUUUGCACCCAGCUGAACAAUCAAUCUCCCUACGACCUGACCUCUUUGUUAUCUGCCCCUUAGCCAUUCUCUGGUACUGGUUGCAGAUGUCAUCAGCAGUGUGCCUUUGUUCCACAACAUCAAUAAUGUUCAAUAGAAGCACAGUUUCUG